rnacentral:rRNA from 1 species
GGGGAAUUUUCCGCAAUGGGCGCAAGCCUGACGGAGCAAGACCGCGUGAGGGAGGAAGGCUCUUGGGUUGUAAACCUCUUUUCUUUGGGAAGAAGCAAGUGACGGUACCAAAGGAAUAAGCCUCGGCUAACUCCGUGCCAGCAGCCGCGGUAAUACGGAGGAGGCAAGCGUUAUCCGGAAUCAUUGGGCGUAAAGCGUCCGCAGGUGGCACUUCAAGUCUGCUGUCAAAGGCUGGGGCUUAACCCUAGAAAGGCAGUGGAAACUGAAGAGCUAGAGUACGAUAGGGGUAGAGGGAAUUCCCGGUGUAGCGGUGAAA